UACGGGGGGGGCAAGCGUUGUUCGGAAUUACUGGGCGUAAAGGGCUCGUAGGCGGCCAACUAAGUCAGACGUGAAAUCCCUCGGCUUAACCGGGGAACUGCGUCUGAUACUGGAUGGCUUGAGGUUGGGAGAGGGAUGCGGAAUUCCAGGUGUAGCGGUGAAAUGCGUAGAUAUCGGGAGGAACACCAGUGGCGAAGGCGGCUGACUGGUCCGGUUCUGACGCUGAGGCGCGAAAGCGUGGGGAGCAAACAGG
rnacentral:rRNA from 1 species